AGAAGCCUCUUGAAUUACUGAGUCAAAAGCUGUCUGAAAAAGAAGUACUGAUUCUGGAUUAAUACAUAGCUCAGCAAGUUAAUGCCUACAAUUAGAUGUUUCCUCAAUUCACGAAAUCUUGAACCCUAUUCUUGACUAUCUAUUGUUACUCUCACAAGAGAAGAGACAGAAGAUUGCCAAGUGGAUACUUAAAUGUCAUGCCAAUGUCCAAUGGCAUGGAGCAUCAGAAGCUGAUCUCCGUGUGACUUCCUGUGAUGAACCACUGAACUGCAGGUGGAAAACCUCAGUAACAAACCUUCUGGACCAGGAGUGGCUCCACCCACAGAAGAUGGCCAUUGGAUGCUUUGGCACAGGCCUUUGCAGAUGGUGACAGCAGUCACGAAAUUAAAAGACGCCUGCUUCUUGGGAGAAAAGCAAUGACAAACCUAGACAGCAUCUUAAAAAGCAGAGACAUCACCUUGCCGACAAAGGUCCGUAUAGUUAAAGCUAUGGUUUUCCCAGUAGUGAUGUAUGGAAGUGAGAGCUGGACCAUAAAGAAGGUUGAUCGCUGAAGAAUUGAUGCUUUUGAAUUAUGGUGCUGGAGGAGACUCUUGAGAGUCCCAUGGACUGCAAGAAGAUCAAACC